UGAAACAGCCUAACCACUGAUAUGAUCAGUGUCUCGAAAGUUGUCUCGUAAGCUGAAGACGUAUCAAGUGUUAAAAAUAGAAAUGUUGAAACUGACGGUUUUCGCUUUUUCAAUGAGUAUCUGCUUUGCAUUACCUCCCAUUGGUCCCAAAGGGAUAUUUUCAGAGGAAUGUGGGGAAAAUGAGUUUCUCGAAACCUGUGCGUCAGCCUGUGAAGUUAUACCAACAUGCCAGGAUAGAUCUCCCAAACCAUACGAAGGAGCUUGUAUAGCAGUUUGUGUACGCAAAUGUAAAUGUAAUACAGGAUACAUAAAGGAUACUGUAACAGGAAAGUGUGUUACACUUUCAAAAUGUCCAUAGGAUGGAAAACAUUCAUGAAUCUCUGGUUAAUCAUAAGUUGACUGUUCAAUUAGAUAUACAUAAUUUUUUUAACCCUUUCCUCCUGGCAUCAAACCGGGGUUUAUUUUGCCACAGAAUUUUCAAAUCAAUCGAGUUACUUCGUUUUAUAGUGAUAUUUCAGAUUCAAUUAUGAAUUAUAUUGUAUAUUUUUUCCAUUGAGGGUAGCUAAUAGGACUGUUAUAUUGGUUGGAAACGAAACAAGCUCACUUCUGAGGCAUUUAAAGUAAUAUGAAAAAAAAA